UACGGGGGGGGCAAGCGUUGUUCGGAAUUAUUGGGCGUAAAGAGCUCGUAGGCGGUCUGUCGCGUCUGCUGUGAAAUCCCGAGGCUCAACCUCGGGCCUGCAGUGGGUACGGGGCAGACUAGAGUGCGGUAGGGGAGAUUGGAAUUCCUGGUGUAGCGGUGGAAUGCGCAGAUAGUCAGGAGGAACACCGAUGGGCGAAGGCAGAUCUCUGGGCCGUAACUGACGCUGAGGAGCGAAAGCGUGGGGAGCGAACAGG
rnacentral:rRNA from 1 species